GCCAGGCACGGUGGCACGUGCCUGUAGUCCCAGCUACUUGGGAAGCUGAGGCUUGAGGAUCACUGGAGUCCAGGAGUUCUGGGCUGUAGUGCACUAUGCCGAUCGGGUGUCCACACUAAGUUCAGCAUCAAUAUGAUAUGGUGACCUCCCAGGAGUGGGGGACCACCAGGUCUCCUAAGAAGGGGUGAACUGGCCCAGGUCAGAAAUGGAGCAGGUCAAAACUCCCAUGCUGAUCAGUAGUGGGAUCAGUAGUGCUUGUGAAUAGUCAACUGCACUCCAGCCUGGGCAACAUAGCAAGACCCCGUCUCU
rnacentral:SRP_RNA from 1 species